GAUUAGUGGCGAACGGGUGAGUAACACGUGGGCAAUCUGCCCUUCACUCUGGGACAAGCCCUGGAAACGGGGUCUAAUACCGGAUAAUACUCCUGCCUGCAUGGGUGGGGGUUGAAAGCUCCGGCGGUGAAGGAUGAGCCCGCGGCCUAUCAGCUUGUUGGUGGGGUAAUGGCCUACCAAGGCGACGACGGGUAGCCGGCCUGAGAGGGCGACCGGCCACACUGGGACUGAGACACGGCCCAGACUCCUACGGGAGGCAGCAGUGGGGAAUAUUGCACAAUGGGCGAAAGCCUGAUGCAGCGACGCCGCGUGAGGGAUGACGGCCUUCGGGUUGUAAACCUCUUUCAGCAGGGAAGAAGCGCAAGUGACGGUACCUGCAGAAGAAGCGCCGGCUAACUACGUGCCAGCAGCCGCGGUAAUACGUAGGGCGCAAGCGUUGUCCGGAAUUAUUGGGCGUAAAGAGCUCGUAGGCGGCUUGUCACGUCGGAUGUGAAAGCCCGGGGCUUAACCCCGGGUCUGCAUUCGAUACGGGCUAGCUAGAGUGUGGUAGGGGAGAUCGGAAUUCCUGGUGUAGCGGUGAAAUGCGCAGAUAUCAGGAGGAACACCGGUGGCGAAGGCGGAUCUCUGGGCCAUUACUGACGCUGAGGAGCGAAAGCGUGGGGAGCGAACAGGAUUAGAUAC
rnacentral:rRNA from 1 species